rnacentral:tRNA from 1 species
GCCCAGAUGGCGGAAUUGGUAGACGCGCUACCUUGAGGGGGUAGUGUCCGAAUGGACGUGCAGGUUCGACUCCUGUUCUGGGCA